rnacentral:tRNA from 1 species
GAGGGUUGGCCGAGUGGUUGAAGGCGGCGGUCUUGAAAACCGUUGAACGUAACCCGUUCCAUAGGUUCGAAUCCUAUACCCUC